rnacentral:rRNA from 1 species
AUUGAACGCUGGCGGCAGGCCUAACACAUGCAAGUCGAGCGGAUGACGGGAGCUUGCUCCUUGAUUCAGCGGCGGACGGGUGAGUAAUGCCUAGGAAUCUGCCUGGUAGUGGGGGACAACGUUUCGAAAGGAACGCUAAUACCGCAUACGUCCUACGGGAGAAAGCAGGGGACCUUCGGGCCUUGCGCUAUCAGAUGAGCCUAGGUCGGAUCAGCUAGUAGGUGAGGUAAUGGCUCACCUAGGCGACGAUCCGUAACUGGUCUGAGAGGAUGAUCAGUCACACUGGAACUGAGACACGGUCCAGACUCCUACGGGAGGCAGCAGUGGGGAAUAUUGGACAAUGGGCGAAAGCCUGAUCCAGCCAUGCCGCGUGUGUGAAGAAGGUCUUCGGAUUGUAAAGCACUUUGAGUUGGGAGGAAGGGCAGUAAGCUAAUACCUUGCUGUUUUGACGUUACCGACAGAAUAAGCACCGGCUAACUCUGUGCCAGCAGCCGCCGUAACAC